CCUGAAAAUGACAUUUCGCCGGCGCCUCCGGAGGGGGCUGAAUUUCACUUUGUAACUUUCUGCGGAACCCGAGCCCGGGUGGCAGCUCGGUGGUGGUAUCGUAUGCAAAUACGCAUGCUGACGUUACAGAUCAUGUGGGUUUUGGCGUAGAUUCCCCACUGAUCGAGACAUUUUUUUUCUCCCCCUUUUUUUUUUUCCUUCUUCUUUUUUUUUUUUUUCUUUUAAAAAAUUUUGGCCACUGUUCUCCGUCCGGGGGCUUUUUCUGUCCGUCUGUCUAAGGCAGGCUGGCUUGGUCCCCCCCUAUUUCCCACGGAGCCCGAGCCCGGGCGCCGGCUGGGGAGUGGGGAGUGGGUGGGGGGGGAGCCAGCAGAGUUCCAUUUUGGAACGCCCGCGCCGCGUCUCCGCGUUCCCAGCCCGGGUCCCCGCGUUCGCAGCCCCGGCGCAGGUCUCGACGCACUGGCUGCUCUCGGAAUCAAAGUGUAGAAAGAUUCCCAGGAUGUAAGCAAUACGGGAUUGGUAUGACGCUGCCUCUUGCGUUUAGCCAUUGGAGCAGUUACAAUUUUCUGUGUUGAAAUCAUUCUGAAAACUCAAACACUAGACUGCAGCAUUCAAGGAAAGCCAAAGCCAUUGGAGGGGGAACAAAGCCAAAAACCUUGUGUCUUAUUUGUUCCAAGAAUUUCACUGUCCCUUCCCUACCUGCUUCCCUCCCCCACCCCCCAACUGAGCCAUUGCACACAGACAGACAGCAUGGCAAGCAAACGAAAAUCUACGACCCCGUGCAUGGUUCGGACAUCACAAGUAGUAGAACAAGAUGUGCCCGAGGAAGGAGACAGGGCCAAAGAAAAAGGAAUCAGCACGCCCCAGCCUGACGUGGCCAAGGACAGUUGGGCAGCGGAACCUGAAAACGCUUCCAAAGAAAACGAAGUGAUCGAGGUGAAAUCGACGGGGGAAAACCCAUCCAAAAAACUCCAAGGCGGCUAUGAAUGCAAAUACUGCCCCUACUCCACGCAGAACCUGAACGAGUUCACGGAGCACGUCGACAUGCAGCACCCCAACGUGAUUCUCAACCCGCUCUAUGUGUGUGCCGAGUGCAACUUCACAACCAAAAAGUACGACUCCCUGUCUGACCACAACGCCAAGUUCCACCCCGGUGAGACCAAUUUCAAACUGAAGUUAAUCAAGCGCAAUAAUCAGACUGUCUUAGAGCAGUCCAUCGAAGCCACCAACCAUGUCGUGUCCAUGCCCACCAGCGGCCCCGGAAGUGGGGACAGUGAUGCUGGGAUCUCCGUGAGCAAAACCCCCAUCAUGAAGCCAGGGAAACCGAAAGCUGAAGCCAAGAAGGUGCCCAAGAAGCCCGAGGAGGCCACCCCUGAGAACCACGUGGAAGGGACAGCCCGCCUGGUGACAGACGCCGCUGAGAUUCUCUCGAGACUUGGAGGCGUGGAGCUCCUCCAGGACACGUUAGGGCACGUCAUGCCUUCUGUCCAGCUCCCACCAAAUGUCAACCUUGUCCCCAAAGUCCCCGUCCCGCUGAAUACUACCAAAUAUAACUCUGCUCUGGACACGAAUGCCACCAUGAUCAACUCCUUCAACAAGUUCCCUUACCCGACCCAGGCUGAGUUGUCCUGGCUGACAGCCGCUUCCAAACACCCAGAAGAGCACAUCAGAAUCUGGUUCGCCACCCAGCGCCUAAAGCAUGGCAUCAGCUGGUCUCCCGAGGAGGUGGAGGAGGCCCGGAAGAAGAUGUUUAACGGCACCAUCCAGUCAGUACCCCCGACGAUCACUGUGCUGCCCGCCCAGCUGGCCCCCACAAAGAUGUCGCAGCCCAUCCUCCAGACAGCCCUGCCAUGCCAGAUCCUUGGCCAGACCAGCCUGGUGCUGACCCAGGUGACGAGCGGGUCAACGACCGUCUCUUGCUCCCCCAUCACGCUUGCUGUGGCCGGAGUGACCAACCACGGCCAGAAGAGACCUCUAGUGACUCCCCAAGCUGCCCCCGAGCCCAAGCGUCCACACGUCGCUCAGGUGCCAGAGCCCCCACCUAAGGUGGCCAACCCUUCGCUGACCCCAGCCAGCGACCGCAAGAAGACAAAGGAGCAGAUAGCACAUCUCAAGGCGAGCUUUCUUCAGAGCCAGUUCCCCGACGAUGCUGAGGUCUACAGACUCAUUGAGGUGACCGGUCUCGCCAGGAGUGAGAUCAAGAAGUGGUUCAGUGACCACCGGUAUCGUUGUCAAAGGGGCAUCGUCCACAUCACCAGCGAAUCUCUUGCCAAAGACCAGUUGGCCAUCGCGGCCUCCCGCCACGGUCGCACGUACCAUGCCUACCCAGACUUCGCCCCACAGAAGUUCAAAGAAAAAACCCAGGAUCAGGUGAAAAUCCUAGAAGACAGCUUUUUGAAAAGUUCUUUUCCGACCCAAGCAGAACUGGACCGACUCAGGGUGGAGACCAAGCUGAGCAGGAGAGAGAUCGACUCCUGGUUCUCGGAGAGGCGGAAGCUUCGGGACAGCAUGGAACAGGCUGUCUUAGAUUCCAUGGGGUCUGGCAAAAAAGGCCAAGACAUGGUGGCCCCCAAUGGUGCUCUGUCUCGACUUGACCAGCUCUCUGGUGCCCAGUUAGCCAGUUCUCUGCCCAGCCCUUCACCAGCAAUUACAAAAAGUCAAGAACAGAUUCAUCUCCUGAGGAGCACCUUUGCGAGAACCCAGUGGCCUACGCCCCAGGAGUAUGACCAGUUGGCAGCAAAGACUGGCCUGGUCCGAACUGAAAUUGUGCGUUGGUUCAAGGAGAACAGAUGCUUGCUAAAAACUGGAACCUUGAAGUGGAUGGAGCAAUACCAGGUACAGCACGUAGCAGACGACCAUGGCUACGACGCCACAUCGAGGAAAGCACCCAAAGCCGUCAUCAUCGAGAGCCCAAAGAACGGGAGUGAGGUGGGUCCGCAAUAUUACAAGGAUCCCAAAAAGCUCUGCAAAGAGGACUUGGAGAAGUUGGUACCCAGGGCGAAAGUGGGCAGCGAACAAGCAAAAGAUGGUUUGCCAGCAAAGCCUUCAGAGGCCAUCUCGGACAGGUCAGAGGGCAACAGCCAGGAUGGCCAGGGCAGCGACGAGAACGAGGAGUCAGGCGUUGUGGACUGGGUGGAGGUGACGGUCGGAGAGGAGGACGCCAUCUCAGACAGGUCAGACAGCUGGAGUCAGACUGCAGCCGAAGGCACGGCAGAACUGGCUGACUCGGACUCUGACGGCGUCCCUGCCGAGGCCAGCCAGGCCUAGACAGGCCUCAUCUGUAACCCUCCCAGCAGCGUCGGUGAUGAAUUGAGAAGGGAGUCCCGGGAGGUUAAGUAACUGAUGUCGCCACACAGCGAGGAAGUGGCAGAGCCGGGAUCCCAGCUUUCUCCUGCUGCACGGGUCCUUCCAUGCUGCCCCACCGCGGCGAACACCCACAGUCGUGUGCUGACCUGGCCUUCCUCAGCCUGCUUGGGAGAAGGAAGAGCAGUCGCCGUCUACCCACCUUGGGCCUUGUUUCCUGGAGUCCUGAGAACUGUUCAGGUGGACAUCCCGCCAGAGGCAGGCUCCUUUCCAAAGGAAGACCACUUGCUGGGAAAACUCUGUUCCUCGGGGAGCACAGGAGGAGGCUGGCUGUGGUCCGUGCCCACCAGGGGUGCAGGUGGCUCUGCGCGGGACCACCAGCCCAUCUUUGAAGCAGACGUGCUCUCUCCUGUGCCUGGUGGCACCCUGCAGGGAGACGCUGUGCGUGCAAAACAAGGAGCCCUGGACUUGGUCAGCUGUGGGAAGGAGCAAUUAAAGCUCGACUGGCCGAGGUGGACUCCAGCGUCCACCCCUUGCCAGUUGCCUGAGGCUAUUUAAUCUCUAAGCCUCCAUUUCUUCACUCUGAGGGGGGCUAACAGCCUCCUCCCUCCCAGGUUACCGUAAAGAGUAAAUGAGAUGAUCUGGAUUAUCGCUUAGCAUCAGGCCUGGCUCAUAAUAAACGUGAGAUAAGUAUUAGCAACUCUCAUGAUCACAUUCACGAUCUUAUUGUUUUUGACUGUGCUGCUGAGCGGUCAUGUGACCUGGGGAGCUCACUUCUUCUCCCUGAGCUCCCAUUUUUUUCCUCCUGAGAUGAGCGAUGUUGGCAGCAUGAGGAUCCUUGUAGCUCUUACAAUUCGGUAACUUUUGCUGGGUCACUUUUGGGUGGUACCAGAUCCUAAGGACACCCCCAGAAUCUGACUUUAUCCACAGACGUAUCUUUUACAAGUUGGUCUCUUAACUCCAAUAUUCAGACUUAUUAUCAGGAGCGUCUAGAGGAUGUGGGUGCAUUUGACAUCCAGAUAUUAGGAAUGAGCGACAGUGUAGACAAUCUGCCGACGCCUUUGGCUGAGGAGUCUACUCUUCUUGCUCUUGGCCCCCUGUACAAAAAUACUUCUCAGCUCCUUUCUCAGCAAGAAGUGGCCAAGAAAUGACGUGGUCUUACCAGGAGGGAGGCAAAGUAAAAGCCAGUGGCUUCAGGAACCUGAAGAUUUGAUGAACUUCCAGCCUGUCAUGGAAUGCUGGCUGCAUCCUUUAUAGCCUCAAGCCCGCCCUGUGGAUUCUUGCCCUGGAUCUCUGGAUCCCAGGAGCCCACAAAGGAAAGUCCCUCUGAACUGCUGUGCCGUUGACUGCUGUGCUGUCUUGGAAGAAAGAAGAGAACUUCCCGCCCGGCCGUGGGCCGCCCUGGCCAGAGACUCCAAGCGCAACACGAUGGCCCGCGUGUGCCUGCAGGGUGCAGGACCCCAGCCGCGUGCACACGCACCUCCCAGAGGCCCGGUGGGAACUGUUCCUAGUGCCAAAGUCCUACUACUGCGUUUCCAAUGCGUCCUUGUAAAUAGUUUGCUCCUCUGCCCCACCCCCGCCUCUUGCCCUACUGGAACUGAUUUGUACAAUAUAGGAAUUUUGCUACCUUUUUAAUCGAGGGCGACUCUCUUUUCCAGCACUACCAUUGUAAGGUUUUUUCCAGAAGGGAGGGCUGAUCCCACAAGCUUUUCUCCUUUUUCUUUUUUUUUUUUCAUUUUAUUAAUUUGGGGGAGGGGGGAUGGUAGCCUUAGUGCCAUUAUAGCUACUGGAUUUUAGAAAGGGGGAGUUUGUUUUUAAAGGUAGUUUGAAAUCUGGGAGAUUUAUUCGGGGGAAGGGCUGGGAUUCGGGCGUCUGUCUCAACUUGAAGAUGGUUUACAAAUAGUGGAUCUUCCAGAUCAAAUCUGUUUCCGGUUCUGCCCCCAGCCGCCUUUGGGGUCCCUGCUGAGCCACGCACGCGGCUUUCUGAACUGCCAAGAGGUGGGUCUGGUUUUCCCGCGGCCUGGCCUCUCAGGUCAGACCUUGGGCCCAGCCGGCACGGGGAGCACUGGGUGUCAGUGUCUGUCCUUUUUAAGCACCCCCCUCGACCAGCAGAAAGGGCUCCCGCAUUUGUUAGCAUUGUCUUUACUUCCGGGAAAUUAAUACAAAAAGAGAUCUUCCUAUCUAGAUGGUACAAAGAUGACCGGCUUCUGUUUUCCGUUCUGUUCCUAACUGCCUUUUCUCAGUGUGGCAUUUGACAAGAUUUCAGCUCGAAGCCUCACCAUGAAUUGAUUCUUUUUGUUUGUUUGUUUGUUUUGGGCCAAUUUUAGAUUCUUGAGUGCACUUUUUUUUUCAGUUAGUCCUAACUUUUAAAGAAGAAAAACCAAGAGACCUAUCUCGUGUAAAUGUUGCAACAUGAAUUGUGUUUGCAAUCCUCCCCCCACCCACCCCACUGCCCCCCAUUUGAGUCCACCGCACAAAUAAAAUGCUAGGGAGUUUGGAAAAAAAAAAACAAUUUUUCUAACUUGUUGCUCAUUUGUUGUAACUGAAUAAAGCAAAAACUAAACAUUUUUAUAACCUU